GAUGAACGCUGGCGGCGUGCCUAAUACAUGCAAGUCGAGCGAAUGGAUUGAGAGCUUGCUCUUAUGAAGUUAGCGGCGGACGGGUGAGUAACACGUGGGUAACCUGCCCAUAAGACUGGGAUAACUCCGGGAAACCGGGGCUAAUACCGGAUAACAUUUUGAACCGCAUGGUUCGAAAUUGAAAGGCGGCUUCGGCUGUCACUUAUGGAUGGACCCGCGUCGCAUUAGCUAGUUGGUAAGGUAACGGCUCACCAGGGCAACGAUGCGUAGCCGACGUGGGAGGGUGAUCGGCCACCCUGGGACUGAGACACGGCCCAGACUCCUACGGGAGGCAGCAGUAGGGAAUCUUCCGCAAUGGACGAAAGUCUGACGGAGCAACGCCGCGUGAGUGAUGAAGGCUUUCGGGUCGUAAAACUCUGUUGUUAGGGAAGAACAAGUGCUAGUUGAAUAAGCUGGCACCUUGACGGUACCUAACCAGAAAGCCACGGCUAACUACGUGCCAGCCGCCGCAGUAA
rnacentral:rRNA from 1 species